rnacentral:hammerhead_ribozyme from 1 species
AUCCAACUGACGAGUCCCACAUAAGACAAGACGUACGUCCUGGAU